CACAUCCGGGUGCUUGUUGAACAGAGUUGAACGCAUGGAUGUGGUUGAGAUGCAAAAGGAGCAUUUAACUAAUCUUGGAAACGCGGUCCGGUGUACAGCAGCAGUCUGUUGGUCCAGAUGUGGUCCAGGUAAUCCAGUAUCACCUUCUGGUUUUCCUCUGCUCCGAUGAAGCGGUUCCACUUAUCGAUCUUCACUCGCAGCACACAGAAGGCCUGCUCCCGUACGAAGUCCACCCUCUCGUCUGAUAACACCACCCCAGCUUUGAGAGAGGGAUCCUGGGGGACACGUACUCCUUCAGUCCCUCCACUGCCCACACCUCUACUGCUACUUCUGGGGCCUGCUGCCUCCGCCAUGAAGACUCACCUGGUCGGAAUUAGAAAUACACUGGAAAAUUGAUACACACCUUGAUGGAUAGGUUCACUGGUCACUGUGACAACGCAGUAGGGGCUGGCUUCAUUGUGAAGCCUGUAAGGCCUGCAACCCUAUCCUGUAACCUGAGCCUUCAGAGGAGACCUUACUACAGGGA